GCCGGGUGUGGUGGCUCACACCUGUAAUCCUAGCACUUUGGGAGGCCGAGGCGGGUGGAUCACCUGAGGCCGGGACUUCAAGACCAGCCUGGCCAACAUGGUGAAACCCUGUCUCUA
rnacentral:SRP_RNA from 1 species